CUUUCCUGCUGCGGGUGUCCAGCACUGGCCCGAGGGAGCUGGCUGGACCCGACCCAUCCUGCAUCUCCUGAGCAGGGCCCAUGGAGGGUAGCGAGGGUGGGAGUCAGCCUGGGUCCCCUUCACCGCGUGACCGUGGGCAACAACUCGACUGUUCUGUGUCCCCCCUGCCCUGGCCACCCCAUGACUACGUGGGGAAACCCUGCCAGGUGGGGUCCCAAAGAG
rnacentral:lncRNA from 1 species